rnacentral:rRNA from 1 species
AUUGAACGCUGGCGGCAGGCCUAACACAUGCAAGUCGAGCGGACGAAGGGAGCUUGCGCCUGGAUUCAGCGGCGGACGGGUGAGUAAUGCCUAGGAAUCUGCCCUGCAUUUGGGGAUAACGUCCGGAAACGGGCGCUAAUACCGCAUACGUUCUUAUGUAGAAAGUGGGGGAUCUUUGGACCUCACGGUAUUUGAUGAGCCUAGGUCGGAUUAGCUAGUUGGUUGGGUAAAGGCCUACCAAGGCGACGAUCCGUAACUGGUCUGAGAGGAUGAUCAGUCACACUGGAACUGAGACACGGUCCAGACUCCUACGGGAGGCAGCAGUGGGGAAUAUUGGACAAUGGGCGAAAGCCUGAUCCAGCCAUGCCGCGUGUGUGAAGAAGGUCUUCGGAUUGUAAAGCACUUUAAGUUGGGAGGAAGGGCAGUAAGUUAAUACCUUGCUGUUUUGACGUUACCAACAGAAUAAGCACCGGCUAACUUCGUG